rnacentral:rRNA from 1 species
UACAGAGGGUGCAAGCGUUGUUCGGAAUUAUUGGGCGUAAAGCGCGUGUAGGCGGCGUGACAAGUCGGGUGUGAAAGCCCUCAGCUCAACUGAGGAAGUGCGCCCGAAACUGUCGUGCUUGAGUGUCGGAGAGGGUAGCGGAAUUCCCCAAGUAGAGGUGAAAUUCGUAGAUAUCGGGAGGAACACCAGUGGCGAAGGCGGCGAUCUGGGAAGAUACUGACGCUGAGGUGCGAAAGCGUGGGGAGCAAACAGG